AUUCAUGCCGUAGGUUUCCUUAUUUCACUUUGACCUAGCCCUCUUUUAAAUCCUCGAUAUAUCGCUUAUUUACUUUAUCACGUUUGAUUUGAAUUCUAGAUACACCAAUCUCGGCAUUUAUCCAGCAACAAAGUUAAACCAAUUUCAUGAUUGAUCAUGGUAGGCAUUCGUAACCCAAAUGAUUAUCCAUCAUCUGCUUCAGAUGCUCUCCAGUUCCAUCGCUAUCAGCCACCAUCAAAACCCUAGAACUCAUCUCAUAAAUCAGCCACUGUCAGAACUCCAGUGGAUGUUUUAGUGGCGAAAAUAGUCUUCCCCAUUCUAUGAUUCCUUUUAUCCCAACCACCAUCGCACAACCUGCACACAAACACCACGAUGUCGGAACUCGAAGGUUUUAUGUCAAUUUCCUUGUUGUCUCUUAUGUACAUAGAUCUCAUUCCUUUUCACUAAUAACAUCAGGCAUGUGAAAGUAUGUUGGUUUUACUUAUUGUUCUUCAUUUUGAAACACUUCUGAAAAGAUAUAGUAGAUGAAGAAUUUGGGAAAUCGCAAGGCUGCUAUGACGAAGAAAAUUGAUACAAAUUAUGGUUUGAUUUAUUUAUUCUAUCAAUACAAAUGAAGCGGUAAGUUGAUACAAAUUAUGGUUUGAUUUAUUGAUCGUUUUUAAUUUAAAACCUCAAAUUUUAAAUUGGAUUUCAUUUUAUUUUUGAAUUAAUUAGAUACUUAAGGGGGUUUGAUGUUUUAUUCAGGUGCUUUUGCAGGAAUCGAGCAUCAGGAAGUAAGUUUUUUUGCAGGAUUAUCUAAUUUCUCUAUCUUUGUUACAGAUGCAGGAUCUAUACGUAAAUUAGCUACAAGUCACAAUCACGAUGUUCACUUCAGGAGCAAUUCAUUCAAAGAAACAAUUCUCGUGAAAAUGUAAUUGCUCCUCUGUUCUUUGAUGACUUUUUUUUGAUUAUAUUCCAAUAGCUCAUUUACAUCUUUGAUGAAUUUUGUUACCGGAGGCGAAUCAAGUUUUUUGAAUAAGGUUUUGUUUGAUUUAACAUAAACAUAACAAGAAUUCUAGCUUUCACGAACAAGUAUCCAACUCCAAUGGACACAAUUCCUACUGACUGCUCUUCCGUUUAAUAGUCAAAACAUGCAAAAGCUCGAAGUUACAUUCCCUAGACUUCCUAAAGAACAUUGGAUGCUCCUGAUGCUAAUAAUGCUACUGAUGGUAUACAUCAGAACUCGUUACUGUAGUAGAUGAGGUUGGACCUGUGACCUGUCACAAGUGUCAAUUGGGCACCUGGUGGACACCGCAUCUCUGUGGGCUUAAACAUUUAUGAUGUCCAGCUCUGGGAUUCUACAUCAAACAAACAGCCGAGAAGACUGAUAGGCUGCCACAAGUGAUGUAUUUUGAGGACUUGGAAGGCAGCCAACUAUUUUGAGUAGAUUUAGUGUUUCAGUAAAAGACUAAGCAGAAAUGUGUGGUACCAACAAAAGAUGGAACUUAAGAAGAUGAACCUUUUAACAUCUAAGAGAAAUCAGACACGUAAGUUAUAGCCACCACAGAGAAAUCAGACACAUCGGUUAUAGCCACUACUGAAAGUUGCCAAAAUAUCGAUUUUUAGUGCAACCAUAUUUUGAUUAUGUCUUGCCAUAUUAACUAAUUUUUAUUGUUUUUUUUAUGGAUAAGGCUUAAUGUAAUGCACAAUUGUGAUUUGUGUACGUGCGUUAUCAAGACUCGGCUCAUUUAGCAAAAAUUUGUAGUUUUUUCUUUAAUGUUAAACUAUCAUGUAUUAAUAAUUAAAACGAAGUUUUUGGCUUCUACAUAUUCAUUAAACAA